UUAAUACAUUUCAACCCUUUUGCUAAGAUCCAAAUUUGUGCAUAAUAGUAACUUAGCUAAUCAUUUAUGUUGUAACUAACCUUAAAAGAUGAAUAAUCUUCUCCUAGUUUAAAACCUAUUUGGAUGAUUAUGAGAAUUUGAGUUAUGUUCUUGUGCAUAUUUGAGGCAAAUAGGUUUGUAAACAAUUCCAAUUUCUACUCCCCAAUAAGUUUGUCAGACUAAUGAUCACUUUUUGAGUUCCAUUCUCAAUACCCAAUACUUUUUAUUUGUAUUUACACUGGUUAAAUUAUGUGUUUCAGUGAGCCUAAGGUGCAACGAAAUUGAUCAUGACGACCAUUCCUUAAAAUCGAGCUUGUAUGUAAUUGGCAGUUUCCUUUUCUCAGGCUUUUGCAAAUUGAUUCAAUUAAAUGUUACAUUUUUACUUCAUUAUAGGAGAGGUUAAGCUUAUAUGAAGACAAAUUAAAGCGGCUCAAGUAAAGGUAAUUUACUGUCAGUAGAUAUCUCUAUAACUUAUAAAGUUUCAAAUUGUCGGACUGCUUAUAAUCGAUCUUUAGGUUUCAGCUGUCCAUAUUAGACAAGAUCGCCAGGAAAGAUGCUUUAGAAUGUUAACUUUGUUAAACCUUGAGAAUUAACUUAAAAGUGUUCAAGAAUUUGUUUUCAUAUCAAGAUUAUUCUACUAAGCACAUUAAUUUGUUUUUUAGAACCUAUAAAUUUGGAUCAUAACAAAUUUUCACUGCCAUUUAUGUCUCCUAAUGCAUUUAAUUUAUUUUUCAGGGAUGCUACAUCAGCAUAUAUCAUUGUAAAAUCAUCUUAGACAGACUCCAUAUGAUAUGCUCAAUGGACAGGAUUCAACGUUGAUUGAAGGAAGAAAGGCACGAGUUGCCGCAAGAUCUGCUGAAUGGACCAUUAACUGUGAUGAAUGAUAGACUAUCAUUCAGAAAUUUAGAGGGAAAUGUGUUCUGGAACAUGAGCUUAGAAGUUUGUUUCAUAGAGAUGAAAUGGUGCGAUAGCAAGACGCCAAGGCAGAUUCUUUUUUCUUUUUUUUUUGAAAAAAGGUCCUUCUAUACCGAUUGAUUAUAUUCUAAUCGUUAUUACCCUAUACCGAUUGGUUAAAGUCCAAUCUGCAUGUCUUGAAUUUGUAAUACCGAGAGAGUUUAUACAAAUUGGUGUCGAUUGGAUUACA